CCUACGGGAGGCAGCAGUGAGGAAUAUUGGUCAAUGGGCGCGAGCCUGAACCAGCCAAGUAGCGUGAAGGAUGACUGCCCUACGGGUUGUAAACUUCUUUUAUAAAGGAAUAAAGUGAGGCACGUGUAGGGCUUUGCAUGUACCGUAUGAAUAAGGACCGGCUAAUUCCGUGCCAGCAGCCGCGGUAAUACGGAAGGUCCGGGCGUUAUCCGGAUUGAUUGGGUUUAAAGGGAGCGUAGGCCGCAUGUCAAGCGUGCUGUGAAAUGUCCGGGCUCAACCCGGGCCUUGCAGCGCGAACUGGCGUGCUUGAGUCCGCGGAAAGCAGGCGGAAUUCGUCGUGUAGCGGUGAAAUGCUUAGAUAUGACGAAGAACCCCGAUUGCGAAGGCAGCUUGCUGCAGCGGAACUGACGCUGAUGCUCGAAAGCGCGGGUAUCGAACAGGAUUAGAUACCCCAGUAGUC
rnacentral:rRNA from 1 species